CAGAGCAUAAACCAGAGCCAUGAUGAUGU
rnacentral:piRNA from 1 species